AGAGUUUGAUUAUGGCUCAGGAUGAACGCUAGCGACAGGCUUAACACAUGCAAGUCGAGGGGCAGCGCGAUGGUAGCAAUACUAUUGGCGGCGACCGGCGCACUGGUGAGUAACACGUAUGCGACCUGCCCCGGACAGGGGGAUAAACCCGGGAAACUGGGCCUAAUACCCCAUAAGUAUCGAGGAUGCAUGUCCUUGAUAUGAAAGAUCCGUCGGUCCGGGAUGGGCAUGCGGCGCAUUAGCUAGUUGGCGGGGCAACGGCCCACCAAGGCGACGAUGCGUAGGGGUUCUGAGAGGAAGGUCCCCCACACUGGUACUGAGACACGGACCAGACUCCUACGGGAGGCAGCAGUGAGGAAUAUUGGUCAAUGGACGGUAGUCUGAACCAGCCAAGUCGCCGUGCGGGAAGAAGGCCCUCCGGGUCGUAAACCGCUUUAGCCGGGGAGUAACGUGCAGGACGUGUCCUGCAGUGAGAGUACCCGGAGAAUAAGCAUCGGCUAACUCCGUGCCAGCCGCCGC
rnacentral:rRNA from 1 species